AGAGAUUUUUCACAAUGCAAGGAGUUAGCCUAGCUCUAUUAGCUCCWCUGUGAUUCUUCACAUGCUGAAAUCAAGCAUGUGCUUUUCCAUCUGCAAGAUCAAGGCUCAGGACUGUAAAUUCAGAAAGCUCUAUUAUUUUCCUGUAUGAUGAGUUCAGAGAUCUUUUUAGUCACAGUGAAAGAUAAAUCCAAAUGUCCAAAUGUUGAAAAACCUUUGAAGACUGACUUCUCCUUCUUUGGCUGGAUCUCAGCAUGAACUCAAACUGGAUUCCUGCUUGGUCUGCRUUUCCACCAUCCGGAGAGCGGCCUCCAACACCCUACCCAUCUUCCCACCCUCAAAACGUAACUGCGGCACCGUGCCUCCCGCUCUCUGGGAAUGGCACUGUCAGUUGUGGUCUCUGAGGGAGAGGCGCUACCUCUCUGUCAGCCUGCAAGAAAGCUGCAGUGUGGAGAAUCAAAGCCCAGAUCCAGGCAGAUAAUC
rnacentral:lncRNA from 1 species